CACGGGAGACACACGGCGGGUGCUAACGUCCGUCGUGAAGAGGGAAACAACCCAGACCGCCAGCUAAGGUCCCAAAGUCAUGGUUAAGUGGGAAACGAUGUGGGAAGGCCCAGACAGCCAGGAUGUUGGCUUAGAAGCAGCCAUCAUUUAAAGAAAGCGUAAUAGCUCACUGGUCGAGUCGGCCUGCGCGGAAGAUGUAACGGGGCUAAACCAUGCACCGAAGCUGCGGCAGCGAACGUAUCACCCAAGACAACUUUACGGAGUUGACGAUUGACGGAGCGAAGCGACGUCAAAGCGUUCAUUAAAGUCGAGUUGGCUUAGGGAUACGUUCGUUGGGUAGGGGAGCGUUCUGUAAGCCUGUGAAGGUGUGUCGUGAGGCAUGCUGGAGGUAUCAGAAGUGCGAAUGCUGACAUAAGUAACGAUAAAGCGGGUGAAAAGCCCGCUCGCCGGAAGACCAAGGGUUCCUGUCCAACGUUAAUCGGGGCAGGGUGAGUCGACCCCUAAGGCGAGGCCGAAAGGCGUAGUCGAUGGGAAACGGGUUAAUAUUCCCGUACUUGGUGUUACUGCGAAGGGGGGACGGAGAAGGCUAUGUUGGCCGGGCGACGGUUGUCCCGGUUUAAGCGUGUAGGUGUGUGUUCCAGGUAAAUCCGGUUCACUUUAACACUGAGGCGUGACGACGAGGCACUACGGUGCUGAAGCAACAAAUGCCCUGCUUCCAGGAAAAGCCUCUAAGCAUCAGGUAACACGAAAUCGUACCCCAAACCGACACAGGUGGUCAGGUAGAGAAUACCAAGGCGCUUGAGAGAACUCGGGUGAAGGAACUAGGCAAAAUGGUGCCGUAACUUCGGGAGAAGGCACGCUGACACGUAGGUGAAGUGAUUUACUCAUGGAGCUGAAGUCAGUCGAAGAUACCAGCUGGCUGCAACUGUUUAUUAAAAACACAGCACUGUGCAAACACGAAAGUGGACGUAUACGGUGUGACGCCUGCCCGGUGCCGGAAGGUUAAUUGAUGGGGUCAGCGCAAGCGAAGCUCCUGAUCGAAGCCCCGGUAAACGGCGGCCGUAACUAUAACGGUCCUAAGGUAGCGAAAUUCCUUGUCGGGUAAGUUCCGACCUGCACGAAUGGCGUAAUGAUGGCC
rnacentral:rRNA from 1 species